rnacentral:lncRNA from 1 species
UUUUUCACCAACUGUGAAAAGCAUCGUUUGCAACAGCCGAAGAAUUCUCUGCUUAGGAAACAGUACGGGGAGAGUGGGCUCACGAAUAGAUAACAUCUCCCGACCGUGCCAUUAUCGGCACAAACCCGUGCGGCUGCGCUGCUCCCGGCAGCCAAAAGGCAGGGAGGGCACGCUGCGAGGCGAGCAGGCUAACGACACCUAGAUGGGAUCGCAGAGGCGAUUCUGCAGACCUAAAGCAUGCUCCGACGGCACGAACAACAUGAGCGUGGUUCUGCACAGCCCCAAAGACACCCGGACAUCUGCCGGGUUUAUCUUAGAGACUGCAAUUAGUGACAAACCGAGUGCAACUCGGCUUGGCUUUCCUAUUCCUGCACACCAUCGGAACCAGCAAAAGUUCCCAGCUCACAGCAUAACCCCCCCCCCCGCCCUCCAGGACGGCCCCAUUCCCCAGACUUGUUUUUCCCAUUGCAAGAUGAAUGUGGCACUGUAUGUCACUUAACGCGCUCACCUAUGAGAGGCACAAAAAGUGAAGGUUAUUGCUUUUUGGAACGCACACUCGCAGUGUUCCACUUGCACGUUUGAUGGAUGUCUGUGGAAACACAGCUCCGGCCCCAUCAAACUGUUUGGAUUCAGAGUGCUCCGCUUGCAAACCAGUAGAUUUCUGAGUAAACUUGAGACGAAGAGCACAAAUUUGGGUGAGCUAAGGGGGAGCCUCUUCCUUAGCACUGAUGUGGGUGAGUGCAUGCGGAGCUCUGACCUCCAGGGCAGCACUGGAGUUACUGUACAGCAUUGUUCUGGUGUGAUGAUUGCAGAGCUGCCGCCCCAAAACGGCACGGCGUAGCAGAGAGAAAGGAUUAUUAGCAAUUUUUUGGAUCACCUUCAGGAGCAGCAACGCUCUCCUCCCUCCCCUCCGCCAUUCUCACUGUAGUGCUAUUUUCCUUUAUUAUUUGGCUAUUCACGACGGCUGUCUAAACAUUUACAGUCCCCUAUUAACAGCGUUUCUCCCCAAACAAUCGCACGCUUUCAUUUCAAUUAGAGCCAUUCAGGCUCGGGUUUUGCCACCAGGCCACGUCCCAGCCCCGCUCCCUUUCCCAGCACGGACCCAGGCAGCGCACAGCCCACAUCCCCACACCUCCUGCUCACAUCCCCACACCUCCUGCCCUGCUCCAGGUUAGGAGCUCAGACCACGAUGCGUUCUGCCCUGGGUGCGGAUCAAGAACAACACAUUAAGAACAGUUACCGCUCCCUUUGUUUGCCCGGUGUCUGAUUUUUAUGGUGCAGAACUAAAGAGUGCCCGCUGAAUUUGACUAUGGAAGCGGGCAAAUUGCUUUCCAAAAGGCUUCUUCGGAGCACAGUGAUAAGGCACAACCCGCUCCUAGGUGCAGCGCCAGAUAAAUCCUUUUAACAGUCCUCAGAUCAGUUAACAGGGUGUCUUUUUUAUUAAGUGGAGCACCAGCAUAUGUACCACGCAUCCCGAUUUGCUGGUGGUGCUGCGGUGUCGGAGCAGAGGGAACAGAAGCAGCGGCAAACAAACGCCAUCGAUUAAUAUCUGUUUUUGCAUCGGUGUUGCCGAAUCCAUCAUUUCCACUGCUUGCUUAUCGUGUUUCUGAAACACUCAGAAUAUCCCAAAUAAGCCCGUGUGAUCCAGAAGGAACUUCUCUCUCGGGCUGGAGGUUGGUGCCACCAGGUUUGUGCUGCGCUCACCCUAUGAUGCAUGUCCCACUUUACUCGUCUCCAUGAAUGGUUCAGCCUGGAUGUGAAAAUCAAUACAGACGUCCCUGAUGCCAAAAACCUAUUUGUCUAAAAGAUAUAAAAAGUGAAAUUGCAAUAAAGAUUUUUAUCGGGCUUUAUGGUGGAAUUCGUCAUUUAUAACUGGGAUGAUGAUGUUGGGUUAUAUAACGUGUUCGCUCUCAAAUUAGCUGAUGUGAGUAAAUAGAGGUAAUCUGGUAAAAUCUGGUGCCCAGGUUGAUCUCUGCAGAAAGCUACAGUUAAAGGAGGAGAAGAAAACAGUCACAUCAAUAUCACACCACUGAGCUGUCCCAGCAAAGCCCUGUGAUACGCACGAGGCGUUGGUAUCUAUUUUAGCUCUGGAAAAUCCUUGCUGCUUCUCUCCCUUCUGCUCUGCACUGAGUUGUUUCGGCAGCAAGGAGCAGUGGCAGCAUGAAAUAAUAUGUGAAUUUUAUGUGCUCUCUCUUCCUCAAAGCUGCCUACCAGUGAGUGGCGAGGGGGGCACGAUACGGAGGUGGUGUUUUGAUGUGUGACUGCGAAGGGUGAGACGGCCAUUAUUAAGAGUGAUCGACUUCAGUGACUUUUAAACAAAGCUGUGAUUUAAUGUCUUAAAGCCCGAGAUGGCACAGACUUGUCGUUAGUUGGCGUGGUGGGCUGAGUGCCAUGCACUGGGCUUAUCUCGUGUGAGUAAAGCAUAGAAAUGUGUGGGGUAAGUGAUGGGGUCUUCGGCAGCACAAGGCUCUUGGCUUGCGUGGCCUUAUGGCAGAGGGGGGCUGUGCCAACGGGAGCACAUAAGGAUCUCACGUUACCUCCAACCUUCAAUUAUCGUGCUGAAUCUGGCCUAACCUGCUUAUCUCCUGAGAAUUACUCACUGGGUUUUGGCAGGAGGAGGUGUCAAUGAAAAUGAGACAGUUCUGGAGCCAGCAUCGCUGCCAGCAGCCAGGGCUUAAUUCUGGGCAGAGCUGGGGACAGUGUGUUCCUCUCCCUGCCAUGGCUCCAGCUGCUCCCAUCCCCAGCCCUCUCCACCAGGUGAGCUCUUCCCCAUCCCAUUCCCAUUCCUGUUCCUGGCUCCCAGCUCUAGUCUCCAUGUUGGAAGCCCAGUGGCUGGAGCUGUCUUCUUGACUAUGGAGAUGUAGCAGCAUCUGUCAGAAAAUACAUGUGAAAGCAGCCCGGGUGCCAGCAAAUAGGAGCUGUAGCUUUCUAAGCAGCUACAUCUGAUUUGGUUUCAUACAUUUAACUUCGCCUUUUUUUUCUCCCACUAUUGGCAAAUGUGUUAUUCUCGCACAGAACUGAGAACAACCUGCAUUUCCCAGGAUUGCUUUACGAAGUCUUGGUGCAGAGAAGUGCAUGUUGUGAUGACAUCUGACGUCGUCCAGUGGCAUUCAUUGUCCACACCAAGCAGGAAUGGAAAGUUUCACGCCCCCUUCCCCUCCUGCUCCCCAGCAUUAGCUCACCAUUGUGGCGGGGCUGGGCAAACCACUUUGCAUUGGCCUCCAUCCGGAGUCCGGGUCAUGGGGAAAUGCUAAUCCUUAACAAAAAAGGAAAUGAUAAAAAUACCCAUGAAAUUAAUUUCCACACCUGCAGUCGAGAUUAAUAACAGCAACCGGAGUGGCAUCCCAUUUCAGUUCCCUGGAGGUGACUGACAGCCC